CGCGAGCUCCGACCGAGACCUGGGCCGGCGGUUGGUCGGCCGAAACCAUCUGCUACGUUACGUGGGGGGAGGUCAGCUCCUAUACAGCCACACUUUUUUCAAUCUUCAGCUUUUCAGGCCUAGAGCGGGCUCGCGCGGGAGCGUCGUUAGGUCCUGGCACGGGGAGGCCGGUGGCGCCGAAACGGGGGGCCGGGCCCGCGGUGCCGCGUAGCCUGAGGCGGAGGUUGGCCCCGGACCCGGACAGUGCCGGAGCCUUCGGUACUUUGUACUUCGAGGGACGCUGCCAGCUUGGGCCUGGUGCUCCUGCGCCCCACCCCGGGCCGCGCCGAGAAACUCCUCCCUCGGCUGGCACGCGCGGGCUUCUGGGAGGCGACGGCCGGCACCGCCAGGACCUGUCGCCGCGGGCCUUGGGGCUCGGGCUCGCAGAGCCCCCGGAAGCCCCAAAAUGAGGAACAGAGGGAAACUUUUCUCCUGU
rnacentral:lncRNA from 10 species